rnacentral:tRNA from 1 species
GGCCGGGUAGCUCAGUCAGCUGAGCACGGCACUAACAACGCCAAGGUCAUGGGUUCGAUCCCCGUUCGGUCCC